GUUCUGGAAGGGAUGUGGCAUCCAUGUCAGCAAGCAGACUCUUCCUCAGAUAGCUAGUGUAAUCUCUCCAAGUCCACCAGACAUUCAGACAGAAGCAAGGAAGAGAAGAAGAACAGGAAGUCCUUCAAAUGGAAUCCAUUGGCAAGGCUGAACUUUGUGACCCACUUUUGAUAUAUGAGCUGAGGCAGAGAAGGAGAAAAAGGAAUUUACCUGUGUAUGAUCCACCUGAGCUAACCGGGAAGAUGAGAGAGACCUUCGAGGCAGAUGGAAGAGUUUAAAAUUUCAGAGAGGGGCUUCCCUGGUGGCGCAGUGGUUAAGAAUCGCCUGCCAAUGGAGGGGACAUGGGUUCGAAACCUGGUCUGGGAAGAUCCCACAUGCCGUGGAGCAACUAAGCCGGUGCACCACAACUACUGAGCCUGCGCUCUAGAGCCCGUGAGCCACAACUACUGAGCCCGUGAACCACAAUUGCUGAAACCCAUGUGCCUAGAGCCCAUGCUCCAUAACAGGAGAAGCCACCACAAUGAGAAGCCCGCAACGAAGAGUAGCCCCCGCUUGCCGCAACUAGAGAAAGCCCGCGCAGCAACAAAGACCCAAC